CCUACGGGAGGCAGCAGUGGGGAAUUUUGGACAAUGGACGCAAGUCUGAUCCAGCCAUGCCGCGUGCGGGAAGAAGGCCUUCGGGUUGUAAACCGCUUUUGUCAGGGAAGAAACGGGUUUCUCUAAUACAGAGACCUAAUGACGGUACCUGAAGAAUAAGCACCGGCUAACUACGUGCCAGCAGCCGCGGUAAUACGUAGGGUGCAAGCGUUAAUCGGAAUUACUGGGCGUAAAGCGUGCGCAGGCGGUUAUGCAAGACAGAGGUGAAAUCCCCGGGCUCAACCUGGGAACUGCCUUUGUGACUGCAUAGCUAGAGUACGGUAGAGGGGGAUGGAAUUCCGCGUGUAGCAGUGAAAUGCGUAGAUAUGCGGAGGAACACCGAUGGCGAAGGCAAUCCCCUGGACCUGUACUGACGCUCAUGCACGAAAGCGUGGGGAGCAAACAGGAUUAGAUACCCUGGUAGUCCACGCCCUAAACGAUGUCAACUGGUUGUUGGGAGGGUUUCUUCUCAGUAACGAAGNUAACGCGUGAAGUUGACCGCCUGGGGAGUACGGCCGCAAGGUUGAAACGUCAAAGGAAUUGACGGCUGAGACGNGCGAGACGACGACGAGGGAGAGG
rnacentral:rRNA from 1 species